GAGUUUGAUCCUGGCUCAGAAUGAACGCUGGCGGCGUGCUUAACACAUGCAAGUCGGACGAGAAGGGCUGAUUUCGGUUGGCCGAGUAAAGUGGCGCACGGGUGAGUAACGCGUAGGCAACCUACCCUUGUAUUGGGGAUAACCCUGCGAAAGUGGGGCUAAUACCGGAUGAGACCCUAUUCUGGAGGGGAUAGGGUGAAAGUCGGCCGCUCGGAGAAGCUGACGUACGAGGAUGGGCCUGCGUCCUAUCAGCUGGUUGGUGGGGUAGCGGCCUACCAAGGCGACGACGGGUAGCUGGUCUGAGAGGAUGAUCAGCCACACUGGCACUGGAACACGGGCCAGACUCCUACGGGAGGCAGCAGUGAGGAAUUUUGCGCAAUGGCCGCAAGGCUGACGCAGCAACGCCGCGUGGGUGAUGAAGGCCUUCGGGUCGUAAAGCCCUGUCAGGUGGGAAGAAAGGCCUGGAGAGGAAAGGUUUCAGGUUUGACGGUACCACCAGAGGAAGCACCGGCUAACUCCGUGCCAGCAGCCGCGGUAAUGCGGAGGGUGCGAGCGUUAUUCGGAAUUACUGGGCGUAAAGCGCGUGUAGGCGGGGGGACAAGUCCGAUGUGAAAGCCCUGGGCUUAACCUGGGAAGCGCAUUGGAAACUGUUUUUCUUGAGUACUGGAGAGGAAGGGGGAAUUCCCGGUGUAGAGGUGAAAUUCGUAGAGAUCGGGAGGAAUACCAGUGGCGUAGGCGCCCUUCUGGACGGUAACUGACGCUGAGACGCGAAAGCGUGGGGAGCAAACAGGAUUAGAUACCCUGGUAGUCCACGCUGUAAACGAUGAUCACUANGUGUAGCGGGUACUCAUUCCUGCUGUGCCGCAACUAACGCGCUAAGUGAUCCGCCUGGGGGAUUACGGUCGCAAGACU
rnacentral:rRNA from 1 species